UUUCGUAAAUACCUGAAAAUAACAAUAAAAAAACCCCAAAAACAGCUAAAAAAUUCGGCAAUCAUAACCACUUGUUUUUGUAAAUUAUAUUUAAGGAAAAUGCCAAAAAAGCAAAACCUUGUUGAACAGGAACAACUCAUACUAUGGGGGAUCAAAGAUUCCCUCGACCUCAGAUUUUCCCUGGCAUGGAAAAAGGUCGUCGACGAAAACAAGAUCCAAUUUUUGGAGAAC
rnacentral:lncRNA from 1 species